rnacentral:rRNA from 1 species
GACGAACGCUGGCGGCGUGCUUAACACAUGCAAGUCGAACGGAAAGGCCCUGCUUUUGUGCUGUUCUCGAGUGGCGAACGGGUGCGUAACACGUGAGUAUCCUGCCCUUGAUUUUGGUAUAACUUCAGGAAACUGGGGCUAAUACCGUAUAGGAUCUCCUCUUGCAUUGUGGGGAGUGGAAAGUUUCGGCGGUUGCGGCUGGACUCGCGGCUUAUCAGCUUGUUGGUGGGGUAGGGGCUUACCCAGGGUUUGACGGGUACCCGGCAUGUGAGGGUGGCCGGCGACAAUGGGACUGAGAGACGGAGCAGACUCGUACGGGAGGCAGCAGUCGGGAAUAUUGCACAACGGGCGGGAGCCUGAUGCGAAGACGUCGGGGGCGUGAAGACGGCUUUUGGGUUAUAAACCGCUGUCGGCUGUGACGAAGCGGGAGUGACGGUAAUGGGUAAAGAAGCACCGGCUAACUACGUG